CAAAAGUUAGAAAAACAUCUGUUGGAAAGCUACCUCUUAAUCUCUCCAAAUCUCCUUUUGUAAAUAAUGGGUCUCAUAUUCCCAUAUCUAUUUCUCCGUCCAGCAAAAGUAGCAUCAUCUCAUCUCGGGGGCUUCUUCCUCUCGCACGGGCGCUGCGAUGGCGCUGCAGCACAGAGCCAGCAAGGCAUGCAGGGGAAAGAUCUGGGUGACCAUCUGCAACCAAUUAUGGCGGCGCUGCAGCCACCCAGAAACUCAGUGACGGAUGGGGAUCUUGUAUUUAUAGCUGGGGUGAGGGUGAGGAGCUCCCCUGAUGGGUUGCCGUGGCAGAAAGGCCAGCUUUGAUCGAAGGCCCAAAAAGAAGAAGAAGAAGCGGUGGAGGAGGAGGAGGAGGCGGGGAGGAUCUAUCCUGGAGAGCAAAGAGGUGAACCGAAGCUACAAACUGACUCAACCACUUCAAGUGUCCUCAUAUUUUAACCUCGGCAAAAUCUGUCCUAUUCGGGCUUAAUCUACCCAGCGCCGCAUAGGAUUCAUCCCCGAUAAUUGAAUAAUGCAUUUAUUCAAUCGGCCCAGGCAGCGUAUCGAUUGUCCACGCCGCGCGGAAUCCGUUGGAAGCGUCUCAAAAGACGAGCCGAGCCGCCCCACAUGUGUGCACACGACGCGCAAAGCGGUCGCACUCGAUGCAUGUCGAUUAGGUCACAAUUGCCUCGAAGGCAGACACGUUUAAAGGAUGGUUAAACGUCUAUCGGUUGUUUACACUGCAAUGCUAACAGUCCACCGUUUACCGUUAGGGUGCCUUAAUGCAUUCCUACCAAAUCCACAGCACACUCACAAAAGCAAAAAUACAAUUUUAGGAAUCUGCAGCUUUUUUUUUUUCCCAAGUCAGCUGUCAGAGCUGCCCCCCCCCCCCCCCUUUUUUUUUUUGGUCAUAGACAGGCUCCAACUGAGAAUUCAAGUUGACACCAUUAAUUGGUCCCAGUUCCAUGAUGGCAUCAUUGCACGCUGUUCAGUGGUACGAUUCAGAUUGAUUUGCGUAAUGUGCGUGUUGAGUUUGGAAUAAAUUAAUAUGCCGAUGUUAGCUCUUUUAAAAGCCGCAAGAAUAGCAACAUAAAAUAAUUAUGUUCCCAUACCCCCCCAAAAAUUAAGUACAAAUCUGCCAAUUUUUGCCUUUUUUUCUCUGUUUUCAAGUUAGAGCAAACACUAAAGGACCUUAAAGCAGUCAAAUGUUCUGCCUCUAAUUCUUUUCUUUAUUGUUGAAAGCGUUAAGGGACCCAAAAAGUAAUUUUAUCCUGUAUAUAUAUUUUUUAAAUCAAUCUGCCGAUUAAUCGGUUCUCGGAAUUUUAUCAGAAUCAGCAUCAGCCUCAAAAAAAGUACAAAAUCGAUCAGGUCAAUGCAGUGUAUUUAAACCAAAAGUAUAUUCUUCUGUUGAGGUGCCCUUAGCGGGGGGCGGGGCCUAAUGAGUGACAUCAACAGGGGCAUUCUGUCGAAUUGGCUUUUUUUUUUUUUUUUUUUGGUCACAUUUAGUUCAGUGUUUGUCUACUUCAUGCUCCUUGUGAGUGUUUUAAUUUUGUAUUUGCUACCUUUUACUGAUUUUGUAUUUUGUCAACGAACCAGGCAAUUGUUUAGUUAAAAAAAAAAAACCCUGAGCACGUGUUGCAUUUCCAAGC